AAAUUAAUCCAAUAUAAUUGAAUUAAUCAAGUUACCAUAGGGAUAACAGCGUAAUAAAUUUUCAAAGACCAUAUAUAAAAAUAUGUUUGCGACCUCGAUGUUGAAUUAAUAACCUAGUUGGAGCAAAGACUAAAUUAGGAAGUCUGUUCGACUUUUAAAAAAUUACAUGAUUUGAGUUCAGACCGGCGUAAGCCAGGUCGGUUUCUAUCUUCUUAAAAAUUUCUUACAGUACGAAAGGGCCCAAGAAAAUAA
rnacentral:rRNA from 1 species